rnacentral:rRNA from 1 species
GGAAACCCUGGUGGAAGCCCGAAGCGAUUCUGACGUGCAAAUCGAUCGUCUGAUUUGGGUAUAGGGGCGAAAGACUAAUCGAACCAUCUAGUAGCUGGUUCCCUCCGAAGUUUCCCUCAGGAUAGCUGGAACCCGUGUGUGCAGUUUUAUCAGGUAAAGCGAAUGAUUAGAGGUCUUGGGGUUGAAACAACCUCAACCUAUUCUCAAACUUUAAAUAGGUAAGAAGUCCGACUUGCUCAAGUGAAGCCGGACGUCGAAUGCAGGGUUCCUAGUGGGCCAUUUUUGGUAAGCAGAACUGGCGAUGCGGGAUGAACCGAAAGCCGGGUUAAGGUGCCAAAGUCGACGCUCAUCAGACCCCACAAAAGGUGUUGGUUGAUCCAGACAGC